rnacentral:rRNA from 1 species
GACGAACGCUGGCGGCGUGCCUAAUACAUGCAAGUAGAACGCACAGUUUAUACCGUAGCUUGCUACACCAUAAACUGUGAGUUGCGAACGGGUGAGUAACGCGUAGGUAACCUGCCUGGUAGCGGGGGAUAACUAUUGGAAACGAUAGCUAAUACCGCAUAAUAUUAAUUAUUGCAUGAUAAUUGAUUGAAAGAUGCAAUUGCAUCACUACCAGAUGGACCUGCGUUGUAUUAGCUAGUAGGUGAGGUAACGGCUCACCUAGGCGACGAUACAUAGCCGACCUGAGAGGGUGAUCGGCCACACUGGGACUGAGACACGGCCCAGACUCCUACGGGAGGCAGCAGUAGGGAAUCUUCGGCAAUGGACGAAAGUCUGACCGAGCAACGCCGCGUGAGUGAAGAAGGUUUUCGGAUCGUAAAGCUCUGUUGUAAGAGAAGAACGGGUGUGAGAGUGGAAAGUUCACACUGUGACGGUAUCUUACCAGAAAGGGACGGUUAACUACGUG